rnacentral:rRNA from 1 species
UACGUAGGGCGCAAGCGUUGUCCGGAAUUAUUGGGCGUAAAGAGCUCGUAGGCGGUUUGUCGCGUCUGCUGUGAAAACCUAAGGCUCAACCUUGGGCUUGCAGUGGGUACGGGCAGACUAGAGUGCGGUAGGGGUGACUGGAAUUCCUGGUGUAGCGGUGGAAUGCGCAGAUAUCAGGAGGAACACCGAUGGCGAAGGCAGGUCACUGGGCCGCAACUGACGCUGGAGGGAGCGGAAAGCAUGGGGAGCGAACAGG